AGCUUUGCGCAGUGGCAGUAUCGUAGCCAAUGAGGUUUAUCCGAGGCGCGAUUAUUGCUAAUUGAAAAAACACAUAUCGCUAAUCAUUAGGGAAAUGCAAAUCAAAACCACAAUGAUAUACCACUUCAUGCCAUUAGUAUGACUA